GUCUACGGCCAUACCACCCUGAACGCGCCCGAUCUCGCCUGAUCUCGGAAGCUAAGCAGAGUCGGGCCUGGUUAGUACUUGGAUGGCAGACAUGGCCGAAACUGAGAGUCAGGAACU
ensembl:rRNA 5S_rRNA 5S ribosomal RNA